CUUUACUGGGAAAAUAGAUCAUUUACAAGUGUCAAAGGCUUCUACAUCUGGUGAAUCAUUAUCAUUGAAGAGGGAUUCUCUGCGCCAUGUCAAAUCUCUGUCAGUUCAAUCUGAAGGAGCUCCAAGAAGGUGUUCCUUCUUGUUUCCCAAUCAGUGCAUUUUCUGUGACAAAGCAAAAUCCGAGUUCAAGGGCAAGACUGAAAAGCUUACAAAGUUUCAGAGUUGGAAACACAAGGAACCAGCCUGGAAAGUUAUUGAACCUAGGGCACAGGAAUGAAAGAAAGAGGCUCUUUAUCGCAAGGUGCAGGGCAAGGACCUUUUUGCAAUGGAAGCUAAGUAUCAUCCAUCAUGCAGAAACAACUUCAACACAGAGUUCCAAACCCAUGAGCGAAGGGAGAGAGUAGAAAAGGCAGCAGACAACAUUGACAGCCUGCAGGCCCAGAAGAUAGCAGCACAUAACAAGUCAUAUUGUGUGGUAAAGGAUUACAUUCUUAGGAAUGUGAUUGAAUGCAAAGAGGUUGUCCAGCUAAGAUCCAUGUGCAACUUGUACAUGAAGAUAUUGGAAAAUCAAGGUUUUCCUAAUCCUGAAUACCGCAGUGAGAAAUUGGCAAGACGGUUACAAGGAGACAAAGACAUCUCUCAUGAACUCACAUUCUCCAAGGUGAAACAACAUGGGUGUAUUAAGUCGAACCUCAUAUACAGCUCUAGCAUUACUGUAGAUGAAGCAGUUGGAUGUGCGUACAAACUUGGAACAGCUGACCAACUUCAAGAAGCAGCACUCACCCUCCAUUCUCACAUUAUUAAGGCAUUCAAAGAGUCAAAGGAGCUACCAUGGCCCCCGACAGCACAGGAGCUAGAUGCUGUGAAGAUGAACGUGCUUCUUCCAGAGCAUCUUGUACAAUUACUGAGCUCAGUGGUGACUGGGACACUUGAUGGCGAAAAGUGUGAGAAGACACAGAGGCUGGUCUAUUCGAUUACACAAGAUGUGUGUCGAGCAGCAACUAACAGCAAGUGGAAACUCCCAAAGCACAUCCUCCAAUGUGCUAUACUUCGACACCUCUAUCGAAACAAACAGCUCACAACCAUCCUUUCAUUACAUAUGACUUCAGUAUGGAACUUGAGACAGCAAUGGCCAAGGCUUUUGAUGACAUUUCCACCCACCUGACCCCUCAAAUCAUCACCGGUGAGGGAAACACUGUUUUUCACAGCGAGUGGGACAACCUGAACAGAAUCACAACCAACGUUCAUGGCUCAAAUUUUGUAAACAGCACCGGGGGAAUCAUGAUUCAAGAGGUGAAGGAGAGCCAUGUGAGCACCAAGAAGAGGACACUUCCUCUCUAUGACAGGACAUCCAAGAUGAGAAGCCUUAAGAUCACGCCUCCUGAAACGGUCCCAUAGCUGGCAUUCAAAAGAGCUGGCCCCAAAUUCCCCAACAAUUCCAACUUUACCCCUCCUGCUGAGAACCAAGAGUCAUAUGAUGCCUCUUUGUCGGUGCUGACAAAGUCCUGGACUCAAAAUCAAAAGUAGACCUGGAACGCCUGCCAUCCCCCAAAGUCUGUCUCAUCCCACAUGUACAGAGAGCCAACUACAGAGUUGCCUGCUAUAAGAGAGCAGACGAGGCAAUAAUCGAGAGCCCCAAACCAUAUGAUCCAGGCAUGGGCUGGGAGAAGACAGGAGAGGAGGAGGUGUUGAAACCUGUUUGGACAAUUGGACCCAUCCUCCCUCCUUCUCUUGUUGAGGUACUGGCUCAGAGAGCAGAGUCAGAAGAGCAGGCAGCUGGUUCCAACAACAACAACUUGUCUGUGGGUGAAGAGGAUGGAGAGUAUGAACAUAAUGAUGAGGAUGAAGUGCUGGUAGAAAUAGACUUAGAAGAUCUCUUCAGUGAUCAUGAGGAAGAUGAAGGCUUGUCAAAAGAUGCACCCAAAUGUACAAGUCAAGGUGUUUGAAGAAUACAUUGCAGAAACCCUGAAGUACGCUCCUCAUCGUGAUUCAAGAGAAACAUAACAUUCAACAAUUAUGACGGAGCAUAAAGAGACUGGACCUGCUAGUUUGGCACCACCACACACUCAUAUUCUCACUGAUUAGGCUUAAUUAAAAAAUAGAAUGAGUUCCCAGUACAAGCUUAAAUAUUUAUGAAAAUGUUUGUUGCUGUUGUCUUUUCAAGUUUUUACCAUAUUAUUACUAUAAAUUUCUGACUAAUUCUUUAAUAAUUGACCAAUGACUAAUAACUUUUU
ensembl:lncRNA